rnacentral:rRNA from 1 species
AGGACGAACGCUGGCGGCGUGCUUAACACAUGCAAGUCGAGCGAGGCCCUUCCUUCGGGGAGGUGCCCUAGCGGCGAACGGGUGAGUAACACGUGGGCAACCUGCCCCUAGCACUGGGAUAACUCCGGGAAACCGGGGCUAAUACCGGAUAUGACCUUCUUGGGCAUCCUCGAAGGUGUAAAGGAUUCUGGCUAGGGAUGGGCCCGCGGCCUAUCAGCUUGUUGGUGGGGUAAUGGCCUACCAAGGCGACGACGGGUAGCCGGCCUGAGAGGGUGACCGGCCACACUGGGACUGAGACACGGCCCAGACUCCUACGGGAGGCAGCAGUGGGGAAUCUUGCACAAUGGGCGAAAGCCUGAUGCAGCGACGCCGCGUGAGGGAUGACUGCCUUCGGGUUGUAAACCUCUUUCAGCAGGGACGAAGCGAAAGUGACGGUACCUGCAGAAGAGCACCGGCCAACUACGCGCCAGCAGCCGCGGUAA